GAUGAACGCUGGCGGCGUGCCUAAUACAUGCAAGUCGAGCGAGCAGACGAGGAGCUUGCUCCUCUGACGUUAGCGGCGGACGGGUGAGUAACACGUGUAUAACCUACCUAUAAGACUGAGAUAACUUCGGGAAACCGGCGCUAAUACCGGAUAAUCUAUUUAACCGCAUUGUUCAAUAGUGAAAGACGGUUUUGCUGUCACUUAUAGAUUGAUCCGGGCCGCAUUAGCUAGUUGGUAAGGUAACGGCUUACCAAGGCAACGAUGCGUAGCCGAACUGAGAGGGUGAUAGGCCACACUGGAACUGGGACACGGUCCAGACGCCUACGGGAGGCAGCAGUAGGGAAUCUUCCGCAAUGGGCGAAAGCCUGACGGAGCAACGCCGCGUGAGUGAUGAAGGUCUUCGGAUCGUAAAACUCUGUUAUGAGGGAAGAACAAAUGUGUAAGUAACUAUGCACGUCUUGACGGUACCUAAUCAGAAAGCCACGGCUAACUACGUG
rnacentral:rRNA from 1 species